rnacentral:lncRNA from 1 species
CCAAGCCCUGCCUGUGUGUGUGUAUCUUAAGUCCCAACCAUAUUUUAAGCCCCUGAGAGUGUGAACAGAGUGGUACACAUCUCCGCCAUCCAAACAGUGAGAUGGGGGUCUCACUCUGUUUCCUGGGCUGGACUCAAACUACUAGACUGAAGCGAUCCCCACACUUCAGCCUUCCAGUAGCUGGGACUACAGUCAGGAUUAUGUCUACUUUCAGAGAGAGAAACCAACGCCAGAGGAAGCCGCACUCCCUGGACAAUGUUGUUAAACUUUCCUUCUUCUGACAUGAUUAAAAUUAGCAAUAGGCCUUCUUAUGAAUUGUUUCUUAUAUCCCACAUGGCUUGACAAAUCACAAUACCUCAACUGCUUUUUCUAGUUGACCAUGGUGAAAUGUUAUGGCUAUAGUUAGAUGACA